rnacentral:rRNA from 1 species
CUACGGGGGGCAGCAGUGAGGAAUAUUGCACAAUGGGGGGAACCCUGAUGCAGCAACGCCGCGUGGAGGAUGACGCAUUUCGGUGUGUAAACUCCUUUUAUAUGUCAAGAAAAUGACGGUAGCAUAUGAAUAAGCACCGGCUAACUCCGUGCCAGCAGCCGCGGUAAUACGGAGGGUGCAAGCGUUACUCGGAAUCACUGGGCGGAAAGGACGCGUAGGCGGGUUGGAAAGUCAGGUGUGAAAUCCUACAGCUUAACUGUAGAACUGCACUUGAAACUUCUAAUCUAGAGUAUGGGAGGGGGAGAUGGAAUUAGUGGUGUAGGGGUAAAAGCCGUAGAUAUCACUAGGAAUACCUAAAGCGAAGGCGAUCUCCUGGAACAUUACUGACGCCAAGGCGUGAAAGCGUGGGGAGCAAACAGGAUUAGAUACCCGAGUAGUC